GAUGAACGCUAGCUAUAGGCUUAACACAUGCAAGUCGAGGGGCAGCAUAUAGAUUGCUUGCAAUUUAUGAUGGCGACCCGGCGCACGGGUGAGUAACGCGUAUCCAACCUACCAUUACUAGGGAAUAACCCAGCGAAAGUUGGCCUAAUGCCCUAUGUAGUCGUUUGAUCGCCUGAGAUUUCGACGAAAGAUUUAUCGGUAUUGGGAUGGGGGAUGCGUCUGAUUAGGCUUGUUGGCGGGGUAAAGGCCCACCAAGGCAACGAUCAGUAGGGGUUCUGAGAGGAAGGUCCCCACAUUGGAACUGAGACACGGUCCAAACUCCUACGGGAGGCAGCAGUGAGGAAUAUUGGUCAAUGGGCGAGAGCCCUGAACCAGCCAAGUAGCGUGCAGGAUGACGGCCCUAUGGGUUGUAAACUGCUUUUAUAUGGGGAAUAAAGUGAGGGGACGUGUCCCUUAUUGCAUGUACCAUACGAAUAAGGACCGGGCUAAUUCCGUGCCCAGCACCGCGGUAAU
rnacentral:rRNA from 1 species